UACGUCUCGCCGGAGAAACCUCUC
rnacentral:siRNA from 1 species